rnacentral:rRNA from 1 species
UAAACAACCUGCCUUCAGGAUGGGGACAACAGACGGAAACGACUGCUAAUACCGAAUAAGUUCCAAGAGCCGCAUGGCCCAUGGAAGAAAAGGUGGCCUCUACUUGUAAGCUAUCGCCUGAAGAGGGGUUUGCGUCUGAUUAGCUGGUUGGAGGGGUAACGGGCCCACCAAGGCGACGAUCAGUAGCCGGUCUGAGAGGAUGAACGGCCACACUGGAACUGAGACACGGCCCAGACUCCUACGGGAGGCAGCAUG